VRDAVUSAAAACCGCCAAAGAACUACAAGCGCAAGCUUAAAACUUAAAGGACUUGACGGUGUCCUAUCUACCUAGAGGAGCCUGUUCUAUAAUCGAUAAUCCUCGCUAUACCUUACCUUUUUUAGCUAAUCAGUCUGUAUACUUCCGUCGCAAGCUUACCAUAUGAAUGCAUCAGUAAGUUAAAUAGUAAUAAGUUUACCAAAACGUCAGGUCAAAGUGCAGCCUACAAAAAGGGAAGAAAUGGGCUACAAUUUCUACUUAAGAACAAACGAAUUUUAGUAACUGAAAACUACUAUGAAGGCGGAUUUAGAAGUAAAGCGAAAAUAAAGUGUUCGCUUUAACAAUGCUCUGGGACGUGUACACACCGCCCGUCACCCU
rnacentral:rRNA from 1 species